AAGAACAUAUGUGUUUGGACCAAGAGAAUUCACGCUAGGCUUAGAGAAAGGAGAAAGAGAAGAGAAAAGAAGAAGAAAUAGGGAAAGAUUCGGAAGAUCGUUGAAUUCAUUUGAGUAUUUCAUCGAGGGUAAAAAGGUAUGUGAGUCUUCCAUAAAGUUGGGUUUGUUAAUCCAGGUUCCAAACAUGUUUAAUUCAUCCUGAAUUCAUCAUAAAAGAUUGAAUUUUGAAUGUUCUUGAAUGUUGUUCUUGAAUUUCUUUCAUUCUUGAACAUGAGUUAAGUUUAUGAAUUACUUGAGGUAGAAAGUGAUAUUUCUUAAGUUCCUUGGGUUAGAUCCUUGUACAUACGAAAUGAUUAUAUAAAUAUACGGCGAAUUUGAGUAAAAGAAUCGAAUUAGAAAGAUUUAAGGUCAGGAAAACAACAUGAAAAUUCAUCAGGCGUCACCUGGGCAGAGCAAGGCAUGGCGCGCUUGCAGUCACCAGUGUCACGCCCCUAGCCUACACCCUUGACAUGGUCGAUACCUAAUGAUCAUUGCUAUCCUUGAGAAAACCCUUAGUAUGUCUUGCUUAACUCAACAGAAGACUUAACUCAUUAAUAAAUAAGAAUCAUCCUCACAAGAUAACUUAAAAUAAAUUGUCUUGGACAAAGUGGCACUUUAGUCUCAAAAUAAAACAUUUGAAAUGCAAAAUAAAGAGAGACUCAAAACUGAUUAUCUUACUGACUAUCUAUCUAUUAAGACUCUAUAAUACUAAGAUAAAUGUUGGGACAAACCCCGCAACAUUCUUGAUAGCGCAAUGUACCACCCCUUCCCCAGGUGUUUGACGACUUUUCUUACUCGUUUUUCAACUCUAAAUCCCCUUAACUCCAAUGGUUCUUUCCCCAAACAUUUAGAAUCGACUCAACCAUAUAAAAUGUAUCAAACUAUACUCAAUCUCAACUAAAAUCAUGAAUCAAGCACCAAAAACUUAACAACACAACCCACAAUAAUUCAAAUGGAUUUCAUCAAGAACUCAAAGGACUUACUUUCAAAUUUAAAUACUUAGCUGAAUUGUAUAAUGAUUAGCGCGUGGGUAAACAAACCCAACACUUUAUGAUCUAACUUGUGAUUAAGCUUGAUGAAAUCCACAAGCUAAACUCUAGUGCUCUUGACGAUUCUUGAACUUUCUUCUCUUUUCUCCUCUUUUCUCAAAGCCUUAGUGUGAAUUUCAAUUUUUCUAAACUGACUAAAAUCUGGAUUUACCCCAAUCAAACUCUCAAAAAAUAAUUAAGAUAAUUGAUAAGGAAAAGACUGAAAUACCCUUCCAAAAUCUUGAUUAGACUUUCCUUAUUCAAAUAACCCAAUUUUCAAAGGACAUAUCUUACUUAUACAAACUCAAAAUCAUGCAAACUCGGCGGUAUUUGAAUGAUUAUUUGUAACGACCUGUUUAGUCAUUUUGAGCAGCAGAUUUUAUUUCUGGAAAAACUGGUUGAGACGACGGAUCCCACGACGGACCGUCAUGGGUACGACGGACCGUCGAGGGGGUCUCGUUCCAAAACACUUAGAAUUCUGAAAUUUGGGUACUGAAAUCGACUCUCUGAACUUCGUGACGAAGUGGCAGGACGGACCGUCACAGACUCUUUAAUAAAUCGAGUCUCUGCACCUUGUGACGGAAGCAGCAGGACGGACCGUCGCAGGAACAACGGGCCGUCACACUCUGCGUAACCCUGACUGGGUCGGAUUUCUGUUUAAUAUUUUAAGGGGGCAUUUUGGACUAUUCCUGCUUAUAAUUAUAAAGUUAGUGGUUGAAUAUUAAUAAUCCAAUUUCUUGAGGGUUAAAGGAGAUAACCUUAAAUUAAUUAGUGGGUUACUUUUGUCAUCUUUUAUACUUAAUUAUAUGCUAAUUAGGGUAAAAGAAAAAGGGUUGGAAUAAGAAAAAUAGAAAGAAUAGAGAGAAGAGGGAGAAAUGAUCGUGAGAGAGAGGAACGAAGAAGAAAGCAAAGAUUUUGAGGAUUAGCUUGCUUGAUCACAAUUCUUCGGUGGAGGUAGGUUAUGGUUUUUAUGCUAUUCGUAGUAAACUCUUAAUAGCGAAUGAUAUGUAUUGGGUAGUGUUGUAAACCCUUCUAUAUGCUUAAUUGUAUGCUUGCAUGGAUGUGAUGAUAUAAUUGUGAUAAAAUAAGCAUGAUGAAACUAUUGAAUCCUAAAUCUUGAAAACCUCUUGUUAAUGAUGAUGACUUGGUAUAAAAGAAGGCUUGAUGAACUAAAAGAAUGAGGUUAGGGGAUCGGGUGUCACGAACCGACACAUAGUAUUAGGGGGAUCGGGUGUCACGAACCGACACAUAGUAAUAGGGGGAUCGGGUGUCACGAACCGACACGUAGUAUUAGGGGGAUCGGGUGUCACGAACCGACACAUAGUAUUAGGGGAUCGGGUGUCAUGAAUCGACACGUAGUAUUAUGGGAUCGGAGUGUCACGUUCCGACACAAGAGGAAUAAAGAGAAUGAAUCUUGAAUUAUCUUAAUAUACUCAAAUCUAAUGAACCUAAUUCCCAAAUGAGUAUGAUGGGGAGGUGUGAGUCCUCAUUGAUGUGCUUAGUGUUGUGACCAAGGGUUAUGGUAAUUGUAAAUGCCGCAUGUUGAGUAUUGUAGUUGAUUUUAUGAUAUUAUCUGAUAUAUACUGUUUUCUAUUUUGAGUUGGCCGAUGAUAUCUACUCAGUACCUGUGUUUUGUACUGACCCCUACUUGUAUGUUUUUCUCUUGUUAUUUGUGGAGUGCAGCAAACGUGCCGUCGUCUUCAACUCAAUCGCAACUCUAGCCAGUCUUCGUCACACCAGAUUUCAGGGUGAGCUAAAGCUUCUAGCUUGGACUGGAUCUUCUUUUUCAUGUCUGGAUGCCUUGAAGUUCUGGCAUAGACUAGCUGUUAUUUAUGUUUAGUUUCUUAGAUACUCUUAGACUUAGUAAUUCGAGGAUAGAUGUUCUUGUGAUGAUGACUUCCAGAUUUUGGGGAUAAUAAUAAGUAUUGAGUUUUUAGAAGAUGAUUAUUGAUUUUGUUAAUGAGUUUUAAGUCUUCCGCAUUGUUUUUCUAUUUAUUAUGUUUGAAAUGUUGGGGUUUAGAUUGGUUGGUUCGCUCACAUAGUAGGAUAAGUGUGGGUGCCACUCGCAACCUGUUUUUGGUCGUGACAAACUUGGUAUCAGAGCAUUAGGUUCAUUGGUCUCAUCACACAAGAAAGAGUCUAGUAGAGUCUUGAGGAACGGUAGGGGGACGCCUUUACUUUUCUUUGAGAGGCUAAAAGACUUUAGGAAAAUUCCAUUGUUUCUUUCUUUCGUGCUAUUACUUGGAUCCAAUUGGUAUCUAGGUAAUACAAAUUAGUAUCUGACCAUCUUCACUCUAUUUCGCAGAUGGUUAGAACUAGAGCAACAACCACGCAACACCAGCACCGGCAAGACAAGAGGCGUCUGAGCCAGCCACUGAGACUGUAGCUCGAAGAGGAGCAGUGGGAAGAGGUCGUGGUAGAGGUCGUGGGAGGACAUCCUCUAGAGGAAGAGGACAAACACCUAGCCCGUCUAGUACUAGGGUGGUGACUCCCCCACCGACUGAGGAAGUAGUAAGAGAGGGUGAGGAAGGGGAAAGUGAGCAAGUGUAGAAUGAGGAAUUACCACCCCAACCUACCCCAGAGAUGAUUAAUCAGGUUCUUGCUUAUCUUAGCGGGUUAACUGAUCAAGGCCAGACACCUCCAGUGUUUUCCGCACCAGCACCUUAGGUUCCGGAUGUACGACAGGCCGCUGCUGAGGCUCCCCCCAUGGAUGCCUCAUUGGAAAUAGGCAUGUUUCCUCGUUUGACUACAGGGCCUAUAAUGACAAGCGAUCAGCAUGAACUUUUCAGUAAGUUCUUGCAAUUGAAACCUCCAGUCUUCAAGGGUGCUGAAUCUGAGGAUGCCUACAAUUUUCUGGUUGAUUGUCAUGAGUUACUACAUAAAAUGGGCAUAGUGGAACGAUUUGGCGUUGAGUUUGUAACCUAUCAGUUUCAGGGAAAUGCCAAAAUGUGGUGGCGGUCAGAUGUGGAGUGCCAACCCACACAAGCACCACCUAUGACUUGGGUAUCAUUCUCUAGCUUGUUUAUGGAGAAGUAUAUACCCCAUACUUUGAGGGAUAGGAGGAGAGAUGAGUUCUUGAGCAUAGAGCAAGGUAGGAUGUCGGUUACUGCGUAUGAGGCUAAGUUUCACGCAUUAUCAAGGUAUGCCACCCAACUUUGUUUCAGUCCACAAGAGCGGAUUCACCGUUUUGUGAAGGGCUUGAGGUCAGAUUUGCAGAUUUCAGCCUUACAGGUAGCGGCUACAGUGAAAUCCUUUCAGGAAGUGGUAGACUUUGUGAUAAAGGUGGAGGGAGUGAAGCCAGAUGACUUCACCUUGGCAUCAACAUCUAAAAAGUUUCGUAAGGGAGGUGAGUUUAAUGGUUCUUACUCCAGAGGGCAGGGUUCAGGAGGUUACCCAGCCCGACCUAUCCAGUCUUCACUACAGACUGUAGUUGGGGGUCCACCGCAGACCGGCCAACAUUUCUCUGAGUUUGGUGGUUAUCCCCAGACUUCGUCAUUCUCACAGGGACCUAUGCUUGAAUCCAGAGAAUGUUAUGGAUGUGGAGAGACUGGACAUAUUAGGAGGAAUUGUCCAAAACCGAGUUACAGACCCCCAAUAAUCAGAGGUAGAGGUGGUCAUGGAAGAGGCCAUUAUUCGGGAGGACGUGGUGUCCGAGGUGAUGGUAGUCACCAAAAUGGCCGGGGUAACAGGCAAACUGGAACUACUGCAGCGCAACAUGGUAGGGGCAACGGGCAGACAGGUGAUAGGGCCCAUUGUUAUGCUUUCCCUGGGAGAUCCGAAGCGGAGGCAUCUGAUGCUGUCAUCACAGGUAAUCUUUUGGUUUGUGAUUUCAUGACUUUUGUAUUGUUUGAUCCUGGAUCCACAUUUUCUUAUGUAUCUUCCUCAUUUUCUAAUGGUCUUAAUUUACAUUGUGAAUUGCUUGACAUGCCUAUUCGUGUUUCUACUCCGGUGGGUGAGUCUGUGAUAGUUGAAAAGGUGUAUAGGUCUUGUCUUGUGACUUUUGUGGGGAGAAAUACUCAUGUAGACUUGGUUAUCUUAGAAAUGGUUGACUUUGAUGUAAUUCUGGGUAUGACUUGGCUUUCUCCAAAUUUUGCAAUCUUGGAUUGUAAUGCUAAAACUGUGACGUUAGCCAAGCCUGGGACAGAUCCGUUAGUGUGGGAGGGUGACUACACUUCCAAUACGGUUCGUAUCGUCUCCUUUCUUCGUGCUAAGAGAAUGAAUAGUAAAAGUUGUUUAGCUUUCUUGGCAUACCUCAGGGAUGAUACUACCCAAGUACCUUCAAUUGAGUCGGUUUUGAUAGUCCGCGAGUUUUUAGAUGUGUUUCCUGCAGACCUUCCUGGUAUGCCGCCGGAUAGAGAUAGUGACUUCUGCAUCGAUCUUGAACCGGGUACUCACCCCAUUUCUAUACCCCCUUAUAGAAUGGCUCCGGCUGAGUUAAGGGAGUUAAAGGCCCAACUUCAAGAGUUGUUGAGCAAAGGCUAUAUUAGACCAAGUGCAUCCCCUUGGGGUGCUCCUGUUUUGUUUGUAAAGAAGAAGGAUGGGAGCUUUCGGAUGUGCAUAGAUUACAGACAACUGAAUAAGGUAACGGUUAAGAACAAGUAUCCUCUUCUUCACAUUGAUGAUUUGUUCGAUCAGUUACAAGGCGCUUGUACCUUCUUAAAAAUCGACUUGAGAUCUGGUUAUCAUCAAUUGAAAAUACGGGCAGCAGAUGUGCCCAAGACUGCUUUUCUGACUAGGUAUGGGCAUUAUGAGUUCUUAGUAAUGUCUUUUGGGCUUACGAAUGCCCCUGCUGCUUUCAUGAGCUUGAUGAAUGGGAUUUUUAAGCCAUAUCUGGAUCUCUUUGUCAUUGUAUUCAUUGAUGAUAUACUGGUAUACUCAAAGAGCAAGAAAGAACAUGAGGAGAACUUGAGAAUUGUGUUGAAAAUGUUGAGGGAGAGAAAGAUUUAUGCCAAAUUCUCUAAGUGUGAGUUUUGGCUAGAUUCAGUGUCCUUCUUAGGGCACGUAGUUUCUAAGGAUGGAGUGAUGGUGGAUCCAUCUAAGAUUGAAACAGUGAGGAAUUGGGUAAGACCUACUAAUGUGUCAGAAGUAAGGAGCUUUGUUGGUUUAGCUAGCUACUACCGUCGAUUUGUCAAGGGGUUCUCUUCUAUUGCUUCCCAAUUGACAAGCUUGACUAAACAGGAUGUUCCAUUUGUAUGGUCGGACGAGUGUGAAGAAAGCUUUCAGAAGCUCAAGACUUUGUUGACUACCGCACCAAUCCUUACCCUGCUAGUGGAAGGUAAGAAUUUCAUUGUCUAUUGUGAUGCAUCCUAUUCGGGUUUGGGUGCAGUACUAAUGCAAGAGAAGAAUGUAAUUGCUUAUGCUUCGAGGCAAUUAAAGGUGCACGAACGUAAUUAUCCGACCCAUGAUUUGGAGUUAGCUGCGGUAGUGUUUGCAUUAAAGCAAUGGAGGCACUAUCUAUAUGGAGUUAAGUGUGAAGUCUACACGGAUCAUCGUAGCCUACAGUAUGUCUUUACUCAGAAAGAUUUGACUCUAAGACAGAGAAGGUGGAUGGAACUACUGAAGGAUUAUGACAUCAAUAUCUUGUAUCAUCCGGGAAAAGCUAAUGUUGUGGCAGAUGCUUUAAGUAGAAAGGCAGGGAGCAUGAGAAGUCUAGCCCACUUGCAAGUUUCAAGACGCCCAUUGGCUAGAGAGGUACAGAUUCUGGCUAAUGACUUAAUGAGGCUAGAAAUAAAUGAGAAGGGAGGAUUUUUGGCCUGUGUGGAGGCGAGAUCUUCCUUUCUUGACAAGAUCAAGGGAAAGCAUUUUAAUGGUGAGAAGCUGAUUCGGAUUCGAGAUAAGGUGUUGCGAGGAGAGGCCAAAGAAGCAAAAAUCGACGAGGAAGGUGUUUUGAGAAUUAAGGGAAGGGUAUGUGUACCCCGCAUCGAUGAUUUGAUUCACACUAUUUUUAUAGAGGCUCAUAGUUCAAGGUAUUCUAUAUAUCCUGGUACAACCAAGAUGUACCGCAACCUAAAGCAACACUUUUGGUGGAGUAGAAUGAAGCGUGACAUUGUUGAUUUUAUUGCCAAAUGUUCAAAUUGUCAGCAAGUAAAAUAUGAACACCAGAGGCCCGGAGGGACACUUCAGAGAAUGCCCAUUCCGGAAUGGAAGUGGGAGAGAAUUGCAAUGGACUUCAUGGUUGGUCUUCCAAAGACAAUGGGUAAGUAUAACUCCAUUUGGGUAAUCGUUGAUAGGUUAACUAAGUCCGCUCACUUCAUUCCGGUUAAGGUGACUUACAAUGUAGAGAAGUUAGCCAAACUUUACAUCUCAGAAAUUGUUCGAUUGCAUGGGGUUCCACUCUCCAUCAUAUCGGAUAGAGGUACGCAUGUUACUUCUAAGUUUUGGAAAACAUUGCAUGCGGAAAUGGGUACUAGGUUUGACCUUAGUACUGCAUUCCAUCCUCAGACCGAUGGUCAGUCUGAGCAAACGAUUCAAGUAUUGGAGGAUAUGCUUCGUGCAUGUGUGAUAGAAUUUGGUGGUCAUUGGGAUAACUUCUUACCCUUAGCAGAGUUCUCAUACAACAAUAGCUAUCACUCAAGUAUUGAUAUGGCCCCAUUCGAGGCAUUGUAUGGGAGAAGAUGUAGGUCUCCCAUUGGGUGGUUUGAUGCAUUUGAGGUUAGACCUUGGGGUACUGAUCCUCUUAGGGAAUCGUUAGAUAAAGUAAAAUGCAUUCAAGAAAAGCUUUUAGCGGCUCAAAGCAGGCAGAAAGAAUAUGCGGAUCGAAAGGUUAGAGACAUGGAGUUUAUGGAGGGUGAGCAAGUCUUGCUGAAGGUGUCACCCAUGAAAGGGGUGAUGCGGUUUGGUAAGCGAGGUAAGCUAAGCCCAAGGUAUAUUGGUCCAUUUGAAGUUCUGAAGCGCGUGGGGGAGGUAGCUUAUGAAUUAGCCUUGCCUCCAGGACUGUCCGGAGUGCAUCCGGUAUUUCGUGUGUCUAUGUUGAAAAGAUACCAUGGGGAUGAAAACUACAUUAUUCGAUGGGAUUCAAUUCUGCUUGAUGAGAAUUUGACUUAUGAGGAGGAGCCUGUUGCCAUUCUAGAUAGAGAAGUCCGCAAGUUGAGGUCAAGAGAGAUUGCAUCCAUCAAGGUUCAAUGGAAGAAUCGACCUGUUGAAGAAUCCACUUGGGAGAAGCAGGCUGAUAUGCAAGAAAGAUACCCACACCUGUUUACAGAUUCAGGUACUCCUUUUCGCCCUUGUUUCUUUUCUUGUGAUCGUUCGAUGACAAAUGAUGGGUAAAUUGGUAUCUAUUGUAAUGACCUAUUUAGUCGUUUUGAGCAGCAGAUUUUAUUUCUGGAAAAACUGGCUGAGACGACGGAUCCCACGACGGACUGUCAUGGGCACGACGGACCGUCGAGGGGGUCUCGUUCCAAAACACUUAGAAUUCUGAAAUUUGGGUACUGAAAUCGACUCUCUGAACUUCGUGACGAAGUGGCAGGACGGACCGUCAUAGGCAUGACGGGCCGUCACAAACUCAUUAAUAAAUCGAGUUUCUGAAUCUUGUGAUGGAAGCAGUAGGACGGACCGUCGCAGGCACGACGGGCCGUCACAGUCUGCGUAACCCUGACUGGGUCGGAAAUCUAUUUAAUAUUUUAAGGGGGCGUUUUGGACUAUUCCUGCUUAUAAUUAUAAAGUUAGUGGUUGAAUAUUAAUAAUCCAAUUUCUUGAGGGUUAAAGGAGAUAACCUUAAAUUAAUUAGUGGGUUACUUUUGUCAUCUUUUAUACUUAAUUAUAUGCUAAUUAGGGUAAAAGAAAAAGGGUUGGAAUAAGAAAAAUAGAAAGAAUAGAGAGAAGAGGGAGAAACGAUUGUGAGAGAGAGGAACGAAGAAGAAAGCAAAGAUUUUGAGGAUUAGCUUGCUUGAUCACAAUUCUUCGGUGGAGGUAGGUUAUGAUUUUUAUGCUAUUCGUAGUAAACUCUUAAUAGCGAAUGAUAUGUAUUGGGUAGUGUUGUAAACCCUUCUAUAUGCUUAAUUGUAUGCUUGCAUGGAUGUGAUGAUAUAAUUGUGAUGAAAUAAGCAUGAUGAAGCUAUUGAAUCCUAAAUCUUGAAAAUCUCUUGUUAAUGAUGAUGCCUUGGUAUAAAAGAAGGCUUGAUGAACUAAAAGAAUGAGGUUAGGGGAUCGGGUGUCAUGAACCGACACGUAGUAUUAGGGGGAUCGGGUGUCACGAACUGACACGUAGUAAUAGGGGGAUCGAGUGUCACGAACCGGCACGUAGUAUUAGGGGGAUCGGGUGUCACGAACCGACACGUAGUAUUAGGGGAUCGGGUGUCACGAACCGACACGUAGUAUUAUGGGAUCGGAGUGUCACGUUCCGACACAAGAGGAAUAAAGAGAAUGAAUCUUGAAUUAUCUUAAUAUACUCAAAUAUAAUGAACGUAAUUCCCAAAUGAGUAUGAUGGGGAGGCGUGAGUCCUCAUUGAUGUGCUUGGUGUUGUGACCAAGGGUUAUGGUAAUUUUAAAUGCCGCAUGUUGAGUAUUGUAGUUGAUUUUAUGAUAUUAUCUGAUAUAUACUGUUUUCUAUUUUGAGUUGGCCGAUGAUAUCUACUUAGUACCUGUGUUUUGUACUGACACCUACUUGUAUGUUUUUCUCUUGUUAUUUGUGGAGUGCAGCAAACGUGCCGUCGUCUUCAACUCAAUCGCAACUCUAGCCAGUCUUCGUCACACCAGAUUUCAGGGUGAGCUAAAGCUUCUAGCUUGGACUGGAUCUUUUUCUUCAUGUCUGGAUGCCUUGAAGUUCUGGCAUAGACUAGCUGUUAUUUAUGUUUAGUUUCUUAGAUACUCUUAGACUUAGUAAUUCGAGGAUAGAUGUUCUUGUGAUGAUGACUUCCAGAUUUUG
rnacentral:lncRNA from 1 species